rnacentral:lncRNA from 1 species
UUUAUAUGUCUUUAUUUAUUUAUCCUUAUUUUAUUAUUUAAUUUAUAAUUUGUUUUUGAAAAAUGGUCUGUCUCCCAGGCUGGAGUGCAGUGGCAUGAACAUAGCUCACUGCAGCCUCCUGGGUUCCUGUGACCUCCCAGCUCAGACUCCUGAGUAGGUAGCACUUCAGGCAUAACAGGUGUGCACCACCACAGUCAGAUUUUGUUUUGUUUUGUUUUUGUAGAGACUGGGUUUCAUUAAGAUGGUACAGGCAUUGGGUAAGUUUUGUCAAUCCAAAGGGGAGAGGUGUGCCAGGAAAAUAACACAAAUGGGAUCACAGGGCCAAUGCAAGUCCAAAACCCAGGAGGCCAGUAUCCAUUCAAUCUCACUGCUCCAAAACAAUCACAAGAACUCAUCAUCAUGAGGAAAGGAUUAAGGAGAUGGUGUUUAACCAUUUGUGAAGGAUCCUACCCCCACCCCCACUUUUCACCCCUCACCCCCACCAUAAUCCACCCAUUCUCCCCAAUCCCCACCUUCCAAUACCCAGUGCCCUCCACGAUUAAAUCACCUUCCACCUGGCCCCACUUUCAACAUUUCUGAUUACAAUUCCAUAUGAGUUUCCAUAGGGACACACAGCCAAAUCUUAUUAUUCUGUCCCUGCCCCACAAAUCUCAUGUCCUUCUCACUUUGCAAAAUACAAUGAUGCCUUACUUACCAUUCCCCAAGCCACUGUGCUUUUUUUUUACAGCCUGCAGAACCAUGAGCCCAUUAAACCCCUUUUUGUUAUGAUCAUACAGAAAAU